GGCCCAUUCCCACAGGAGAGCACAGGAGAGAGGGAGCCCUCUCUCCUCCUCCCCGUCCGCACACGGAGAGCCACAGGAGAAGAGGAGCGGAGGAGGCCGGGGGGUGUGCUGGCGGACAGGAUGUGACCCCCCAGACGGACAGAGAGAGGGGGGCAGGAGAGGAGAGUGAAGGAGAAAGAGACAAGCUUCUCUUGCAGAACUGGCUCCCCCUGCAGAUCAAAGGUUGAAAGGUCAGGGCUCCUGUGCCCUUGUGGUGUGUCUCAACUCCAACCCUGACCACCUGAGACCCCACCCCCUCCUCCACGCACACACACAUGGGCACAAACACGUGCACACGCGGCCACACACACACUCAACAGGGCUCUCUCCAGGACUCCACUCCCAACAUGACAGCAUUGAAUCGGCUGCCCCCUGCAUGCUCCAGGGACAGGUUUAGAACCCGGUUAGUACCCCUCACACCCCCUCCCCCUGGGUGAAGGACACACAGCCCCUGUCGCCCCCCUCUGACGCCCUGGAGGAUGAUGGGAGUGGGGGUCUACUCCAAGUGUGGCAGUGGGAUUUGAGACACAGCUCUGGUCUUGCUUUUGUCUUCAUGGUGACUGGAUUCUUUUUUUUUCUCUGUUAAAUAUUUUUUUUCUAUUAAAAUAAAAAAAACACAGGAGCUGUUUGUA